rnacentral:misc_RNA from 1 species
AAUUAGAACAAAAGACAAAAAAAGAAUUAGCACCCAGAAUCAUGAAAGAGAGCAGUGUCUUUCUUAAUUUGCAAAGUUAGUGCACAUUGCAUAUCUUGUUUUAAAAAAUAUAGUUGUUUCAAAAUUACCGAGCAAGAGUCGAGUACAAUUCUUGGGGAAUUUGAUCUUGGCCGGCCAUUUAGCCUAAUAUCGCUGCUUUACUCCUCUAUAGAGUUUGGUGGGUUUUGGUGAUGAGCUUACUUGCUUCAUAAGGAUGGGUUUGAGACCUAAAAAGUGGAGGG